rnacentral:rRNA from 1 species
CGUGCUUAACACAUGCAAGUCGAACGAGGGAAUUCUUUUCGGAGAAUAUACCGAGUGGCAAACGGGUGAGUAACGCGUAGGCAACCUGCCUUCAAGAUGGGGACAACAGUCCGAAAGGGCUGCUAAUACCGAAUGACAUGUCUGAACCGCAUGGGACGGACAGCAAAGACGGCCUCCAAACUAUGCUGUCGCUUGAAGAUGGGCCUGCGUCUGAUUAGCUAGUUGGUGAGAUAACAGCCCACCAAGGCGACGAUCAGUAGCCGGUCUGAGAGGAUGAACGGCCACAUUGGGACUGAGACACGGCCCAGACUCCUACGGGAGGCAGCAGUGGGGAAUCUUCCGCAAUGGGCGAAAGCCUGACGGAGCAACGCCGCGUGAGUGAAGAAGGUCUUCGGAUCGUAAAGCUCUGUGAUCGGGGACGAACGGUCAGCAGACGAAUACUCUGCUGAAGUGACGGUACCCGAAUAGCAAGCCACGGCUAACUACGUG